UUUCCCCUGCUGUGACGGGAAAAAGGGUGACGGAAAGGUGGUGGGAGGGUGGAGUCUUGGGGCUGAGCUUUCUCUCUGAGAGCAGCCAUGCCUGUUGUGGGGGGAGGCCCAGACCUUGGGGUACUCCAUCGCCCAGCUCUUCCUCGCAGUGUUCGCUGAUCCCAAGGGGAGCCAGCUUCUCUGCCCCUCCCAGCAGUGUCCCUUGGUCCCCAAAGGAGCUGGGUCACUCUCUGCUCCUCCUGGCAAUUGUCCUUUUGUCCUUGAGGCAGCCAAGCCCCUUGUAACCCAGGGGCUUGUUCUGUCUGCUCAGGUGCUGUCCAUGUUGCUGUGACAGGUUCUUUUCCCUGUGUCCCAGUCAUCUGCUCAUGUGUUGACGGUCCCAGAUGUUUUUUAUCCCUUGCUCUAUUAUAUGACAGGUAAGCUUGAGAAAGACUUGCUGGUUUGGGGUCUUUUUCCAGGGUAGUUUCUCAUCCUAAGUGUAUCAGAAGGACUCUUGUCUGAUGUUGGAGGGAAGAGCCCUUUUGGGUGCCCUGCAUGUACAAGUCACCCUUUGCAAAGUACUGUUCUGCUUGUAUUCUUCUUUUACUUUAAAGCAAGGUAAUUAACCCUGAUUUUUUCUCAUGGUGUUGACUUUGUGAAACUGGAGGAAAAGUUACAAGCAACGUAAGGUAAACCCUGAGUGGACAAUUUAGCCAGGCUAUUUUUUGUUCUUCACAAAUGUUCAUCUGUGUAGAAGUGCUACCUUGGCCUAUGAAAAUUCAGCUACUUCUGUAUAUAUAAAGAAUGUACUUCCCUGCCCAGUUACUAAUCCACAUCCUCUUUCCCAUUCUCUCCAUAAAGACAAAACAAGUGAAGGAAUCUGGAAGAAAACUAUUUAUCUGCAUAAACUCUUGGAUAUUUUGCAAACCUGUAUUCUAAGAAUGGUGGCCUGUGGCACCUGACAGAUGUACCAUUGACACAGCACAGGUUUCUGACAAAACAUAAGCACAUCUUCCCUGGGUCUGGCAAAUGAGAGAAAUGAGUCCUCCCAAUAAACACUGUUCAAAUCCAUCUUCUGGUUGGAAGAGCAGUGGGAAGUUUUAGGCUAAUAUUGCAUUGCUCUGCAGAAGGGGAAAAAGGCACUAUAAAAAAUAGCACUUGGUGACUGGAGUACAUUUGGCAGGUAGAAGUCACAUCCAGGAUAGGAUUUGAUAAUUCCAUUGCUUGUACAUCUCUCAGUUUUUGAAAGUCAGAAUAUAUAAAUUGUAGGGCAGUAAAUCAAGCUCAGUUUCAAUGUAUGCAUGAAUAACAUUAAUGAUUAUUAUAUAUUAAUGAAGUAAUGUGCUUUCCCUUACACCAAGGCACAAUUAGAGUAACUCAGAAGUACAGUUCUUAAAGUGAAAGACCCAGAAAAGAUUCAAGCAAUCAAUCUUGUUACCCAUUCUUUUACUCCGGAUGACUUUGUUGGGUCUUUCCAGUUUCUGAAUCCUGUUGCAAUUCAGUUUCAUUAUUUGUUAGCUUUUUUAAUAUUUGUCCAAUGUCCUUUACCUGUGGCAAUGUCACAAGAAAGAAGCAUGCUCUACAGAGUUGUUGCUUAGCUUACAAGCACUCCUGUCUCCCACUGCAGCUGCAAGGCUGAGUUUCCUGCACCGGGGGACAUGUGUGUGGAAGAGAAAUUAUGAAUAAAUUGAUGCACUGGCCUUGACAAAUAGCUGUGUGUGAUGUCAGUGGAGUUGUAUUUCACUUUGCCUGGGGCCUUUAGUUUUGCUGGAACAGGCUGUUAGUCAGAUCUGUAAGAUGGAGAUUUCUCUGGCAUUGCAGCUUGUUUGAAUGAACCCUAAUUACAAAGUCUAGGCAGUUACAAGGAAUCUGUUAUUCUUGGUCUGAUAACGUGGUUGAACAUGUGCAUUCAAAACACUCCAUCACAGCUUCAUGGUGGAUUUUUUCUCCCUCUAGGUUGGACUGUUUUAUUGUCAUCUGUCACUGUUUUAUCCUUCUUUUGGUUUUUCUUUAGUCUGUUCCUUCACAGCUUAAUGCUUUUUAUGUAGUAGCAAAUAAAAGUGGUAUCAAUAGCAGUAUUUUAAGAAGCACAAGAGGAUGCUCAGUAGCAAAGGAGUAAAGGAACACGCUACCCAGUUUGCCAAAGAAACUCCACUGAGCUUCAGCACUUCAUAAUACUGAGGGUUUUCUUUGUCACUGAGGGAGUGUGUCUGUGACAAUUCACUGGAAGGAGGGGGAGAGGAUUAACAGAGGGAAUUGUUCAACACUCAAAGUGUCUGUUUUGAAGCAUAAUAAUUCUCUGGGCCACUUUUUUUUUUUUUCCUGUGAAAGAUUCCACACAGUCCUCUAAUGGACAGAACUGCACCAAGUCCACUGUAUCUGGCAGCAAGGUCUUUUAUGUUGCAGAUGUUCCUGUAGCCGUUAUUUGAAGGGGGAGAAACAUGAAGGUAAAGGAGGAUCGUAGUUUGGACUUACUAGCACUGUAUAGGUAAAUUGCCACUAAAGAUAUGUACUGGGAGAUGCGAAAUACUCCCUUUCUUGCUGUCGUGUCAGGAAGGAUGACAAGCUUGAGGAGCAUAUCAGAAGGAUGGCUGGAGAAUGUCAAGUGUUUCAGCAGUUCCUGGAGUAUACAUUUUGGGAAGUUUCUUGGGUUUAACUUAAAUACAUAUGCAAAUCCCUAAAAUACACUGUGCCCUUGUGCCAGUGUGAUUUUCAUUUGCCUCCUGGUGUCACCAUGUAUGUUUCAAGAAGAGAAAAACAUAUGUGAGGCUGAUUUUGCAGAAUGAGCAGUUGUGUGUUUACAACUGCUGCCACAGUUUGAAGUGUGCAAGUGUCUUGUGACAGAAAACUGAAAUGGUUUGUAAAAUGCUAGGGUUGACAUAGAGCCACUGUGAAGUGUCUCAUGACUUGUAAUAAAACAGCAUUUAAUUAAACAUGUCAUCAUGUGCCCAUCCCGUGCUGACAUAUGGGACACUCCAGGUGAAAGCAGGCUGUCAGGGGAGCAGCCAGGGAGGUUUUUUUUACAACUGUCUCAGCAAAUGGGGAAGUUUUGUCUGCAUUUGUAUAGGUUGCAACUUGUUCUGAGUUGACCUUAGACUCAAAAUCUGAGCGGGGACUUCAGUCCCUAGGGUGGCACUGAGCUGUAAGUGACUAAAUCAGAUGAAAAUGCUUAAAUAAUCCCCCAGGUAUACCCUUUCUUGGAGUAUGUGGCAUAUCUUUAGUUCAAAACUAUUAACGAGGGGGGGUUUUUUUUUGGUUUCUUGCCCCCUUUUGAUCUGCUUUUUUGGCUCAACAGGAAGAUGUGCUGGACCUAGAAGGUCUGUAGUCUGUCCUUCAUCAAAUCGCUGUAUUAAAGCCUGGUCUGUGCUGUUUUGCUGUAGGUGGUGUUGAUUAGGGAGGUGGAAAUACUUCUCUUCCCCAGCUGGCUGACUGCAAGGUAUUUACUCCUUUUAAAAUAGGUAAGACAGCAAAACAUAAUUCUGUUGGUUAUACUUGCAUCUGUUGCUUUUUUCUUGUAACUUGUGUAGUGCUAAACAGGACAAAUUUUUAGCGCAGACAAGCAUUUCAAUGACAGCAGCAUAAAACACAGGUCAGUUAUUGUUCAUUGAUGCUUCUGUGGUGGCUGGGGACAUGGAGCCUAAGCAGAGGGUAGUGAAAAUCCUUGUCAGAUCUGUGCUUAUUGGGGAAAAAAACCCUGUUAAAAUAGGUACCUUUGCAAGGCACUUACACUCUGUCAUUACUGAAGCAAUGUACCAUGCAUUUCAUUUGUCAGAUGUCUUGAAGACUUUGUAAUGGACUGAGUAAAGGCUAGAGGUAAAACCUGAAUUACACAUUGUCAGUGUGUAAGGGGAACUGUUCAUAGCCUGGUUAUAGAAACUUCUGUAACUGUUUGGUAAACACAGAGCAGGGCAUUUUAGCACAGUUUGUACUGGAAAAAAAAAAAAUCUGUUUCCAAACAUAAACUCUUUGCUGUUUCUCCCUGAUGUAAUGGUACUACUGUCACUUGCUGACAUUGCUUUGCUACAGCUUAUGCGAUUCCAGAUGACGAUGUGCUUGGCAGACACACUGUAGAAAUAAUUUCUUUUUUCCUCUUUUCCUUCUGUGUUAUUUAAAGCAAAGCUCCUUGACUUUAAUUUCUUCUGGUAACCAUACCUGGGGCCAGAAACUGUUGAGAGGUGCUAUGACAGAAGUGCCUUCAUCUAAAUGUAAAUGUAGCUUCCUUGCCUCAGGCUGCCUUUAAGAGGCUUUUUCUGUGGGAAGCAGCUACAAAGUAAUGGUCCCAAUCAAUUUAUUCGUGUCAAUAAAAGGUCUUUUAUAUGCUUAUUUGAAAUGUAUUGCUCUGGGGUGAUAGGACCACAUUUGUUUUUUAAGCAAGUAUGUCAGAUGGAAUGAGAAAUAGCGAGCAUAAAGGAGAGGAAAAAGAAAUUGUGCAAGACUUGUUGCAGUUGAGGGGGGUAGGGGCCAUUGCUUGGGCUUUUGAGCACAAAGGGUAGAAAGAACCAAGGUGCCUUAAUGGUGGGACACAAGACAAGGUGUGCUGGGUAGAAGUGGGAUAGAACCUCCCCUGGUGUUCCUCCUCCCUGUGCACUGGGACAAUCUCUCCUGACUUGGAUUGGGGGUUGAGUAAAGGAGUUCGGUACAGAGUCCCUGACAGAGAUGGAGGGAGGGAUUUUCUGAGUCACUUCAGUGAAAUAACAUCUGCUUGUAGAUUACAGUCUUGGGCAAAGGCAACUUGGAAUUCUCUUACUGUGCCCCCCUUCCUGUCUGGUUAAAACAGAAAGCAGGUAAAGAGGUGCCACAGCAAAGUGCAAAAUACAACUUUUUCUUUACAUAUUUCAUAUUCCGCAUCAAAGUGUGAAUUCUGUCUGUGUGUCUCCUGCCAGCACCACCUAUGAGUGGUGCUUUAUAUGCAUGGUACUUAAUUUUCUUUUGACUUGGUCUUCAGUUUGAGGUAACCUCACUCUUAAGGUAAACUCACUGACAGCGAAAGGCUAAUAGGCACGGACAGGUGUUGACGGCAAUUGAACUUACUGUGCCAAUGGAUCUUAGUUGCUAUAAUCCUCCCUGCCACUCCAGGCUUUUAUUUCUCCUAUACAGCAUUUUGGCAUUUGUGACAAAUUAUUUAAUGGCCCACUGAAAGAUACAUCUGUCCCACAGGGCCUGGGCUAAUGGUUUUGACAAUCUGUCUAGGUGCUGCUCGAUUCUACCACGGAUGCCAGUACUGGUGUUCUGUGCCUUGAUCUCCCUGUGUAUAAAACAGAGAUGAAGAGACUGACUUGCUCUAAAUUAUAGUUUUGCUCUUUCAAAAGAGCUUUGAACAGAUGGAUUUCUACUAUUUGUGCAAUAUAGAUGGAAGAGAACUUAAGGGUUUUGAAGACCCUUGGCUACAGAAUUAAUAAUUGUAGUCAUGACUGCAGGUGUGAUUUGAACCUAGGCAGCUGGGGUUACCUUCUGUUCUGCUAGUUGAGUCCUGUAGUUACAUGGUGUGGAUCUGGCCCCUAAUGCUGUGGCGCUGAUGCUUUGGAGGAGGUUGUAAGACAGUGCUUCAGUCUCCAUUGCUCUUCUCCAGCCCUCCUGACCAACAGGCAUCUAUUCUGAAGUGGUCCAUCGUGAGCAGCUGAUUACACCACCUUAAAGUAGGAGGAAUGCUGUUGAGUUCAGCUGGAUUUAUUCGGAGUAACUGAGAGCAAUGCUUACAAUAUUCAUAGAAUCACGGAAUGGAUUGGAUUGGAAGGGGACCUUAAAGAUCAUCCGGUUCUAACCCUCCUGCCGCGGGCAGGAACACCUUCCACCAGACCAGGUUGCUCAAAACCCCAUCCAACCUGGCCUAUAUUCUACCUAAACAUAAAAUCUCUGUAAGAUGAAGAGCUUGUUUGCACAGUGUAUGUCAUGUUGCAGUUGUGUUUGCUCUGAGAUGGUGAUGCUACAGAUGGUGACCUGAGCCAUUGCUACAGCAUCUGGAAAGUGAAGAUCUGGGGUUUUGCUUCUUACAUUAUUAUUACUUGUUAUGUCUAAGCCUUUGCAGUGGAUAAGGUCUUUCUCUUAAGAAGAUGGCCAGCUUUUUCUUCUUGGCUGAAGAAUACGAGCUUUCAGGCGUCUCAGCUCUGUCCUCAGAGUGUCCAAGUAUGCGGCUGCUUCUUUUUUUUAUCAACGGUCUAACAUAUUGCUGUGCAGUAUUCCUGCAAACUGCAAUGCCCCGUGUAUUUUUGCAUGUGUCAGACUGAGUUCUGAAUCAUGUAGAGCAGACGCUCGCAGAUGAUGGGGGACUGGACUGUUUCUGGCUGGGCCCCCAGGGCUCUUGCCUGACUAAUUUUUUUAUUUACAAGACUGCAAGUAAGAAAACAUGAACAGUUGGUUGAUGUCCCUGGCAUGCAAUCCUGUGCCCAGCUGGACUGCAGGGACUUGGCAAAGCUGCCUUUACAAUGCUUCCUGGCUCUGGGGCAGGGAAAAACUCCCUCUUCCACCUGGGCUGUGUGUGGAACAGAAAGAACUUUGGCAUGAGAGGAGACAACAGCUGGAGGGGAGACCAGGGGAUGUGAGGGGAGUAGGCUUGAACUAAACAAUUGUCCUGACUUCAGCCCUCAGUGUGAUUUAAUAGUUUACUGCAGCUUUCUGCCUCUGAGUCACCCAGGUCUUUCCUUGUGCAGAUAAGCAUGAGACAGGUCCCUCUUUCCAGGAGCUGCCUCCUCUGGCCACUGCCUGGGCUCUCCAGUGACUCCGGCCAGGCUGCAGGUUGUCCCCAGAACCCUGGCUGUCCCUCUGCCGGGGGUGCCCCGGAGGCCCUGGGUGCCAUUGCCGUGUUUGCCACCAGGUGGCAGCAGAUGCUCAGAAGAAAGGAAUCCAACCGUCACCCUUGAGAAUCCUUUUCCUGGAAAACUUGAGGAACUCACAGUAAUCACUGUACCGAGGUCACGGUCAAAAAGCAAUGGAGAGACCCGGAAGAAGCAGACGGAGGAGAGUGAGUGCCCCGGAUUAGGAGAGACAAGGAGAGGUCCUGGGAGAAGAAGGGCGCCUGGAGGUGGACACAGCAGAGGCAAGAAGCAGGGUGGACUGGCCUGAAGAGGAGGAAGAAACAGCAUGGACAGCAGAUGGGCUUUUGAAACCUUGUGGGGGAUUGAUGGCUGUGCUGGGGCAAGGCGCGGGAACUACUUAUUGAAGUUAACCUGCUAUGUGAUGGUAAACGUCUUGUGGCAGCCAGCUAGUUUUGAUAGUACUGUGACAAAGCAAGACUUCCACAAACAUGGAAGCAUGGGCUUCCUUAUAGCAGGGGAGAAAAGGCCUGUGAGAUCCAGGACCAGCUGCUCUCACACAAUGUGGCAAGUCCGUGGCUGUCCUUGGGUUUCAUUUGUUUUGCAAAACCGAGUUUCUGUUGCCAGAAUUUCCCAGCUUCUUCCUCUUCUUUUGCCUUCAUGGCUGUGUACUGGGCAUCUUUUGGCUAUAUCUGUCAUUGCAAAGUGGUCACAAUUCUCUUUUGUUUUGCUUGUUCCACAUGAGGGCCUGGGAGACACGUUUUAAGUGAAUUGCUCUGUGUAUGUGUGCACAUUUAUAUCCUGGGGGAAUACAGUCUAGGAAUUCUUGUCUGGACUCUGUACUGGCUCCGUGGUCCUGUGUGAGUUGUGCUGCCUCCUGGUGCCCUGAUUUCCCUCCCUGCAAGUUAGGUCUUUGAAGCCCUUGUAUGGAAACAGGGAUAUAAACACAAGGCAGCUGCCCUGAGAAUAUUUGUUUCUUUUAGAUGGUCUUAACUCCAGGCUCACUCUUGAACCUGAAAAAUUCACAACCCAUGCAAUAAUAUUUAAUAUAACAACCCCAGCUAACAGCAGCCCUCUUCUUCCAUACCAUUCAGCAGCUGGGUGACAGCACAAGGGCUUUUCUUUUAAACUUUUUGGCUUUCUUGGUUUGACUGUCACAGCCUCUUGAGAGCUAGCAUUUGUCUGGAGGGCAUGUCAGGGUGCCUGUCAAUUACUGCUGAAGAUAGAUGUCACUUACCAAACAGAUGUACUGCAGUGAUCAAUGGCUACUGUCAAAUAGUAUUGGUCUAGUAAGGAAUGGUCUCUGUUGUAUUGGUAGAAGAUGUCCUAUAGGAAAUGCUUCUGACCUUGUUGAUUAGCCCUCUUUUUUUCCUGCACAUGACACCUGUGUGUCAAGAGGGGACUUUUCUGAAGAUGUCUUACAUGGAAUCUGGCUUUCUGAAAGUUCCCUUUGCAGUAGUCUGUCACAGCAUGGGUGCCCAGCUCCUGGUGCCAGAGCACUAAGGGGCUUGUGUCCAGAACUGGUGUGCAUGGACUGUGUUUGGGCACAGCUUCAACCUGUAAGCACCUGCAGAUGUGGAGCCAGUGCCCCUUAAUAGCCAGCCUGCAUUUGUGGCAGCCCAAACCCUGCCUUUACAUUAUGCACUGGCCCGUCCCUGACAGUCUGCACAACUAAGAAGUGGUAAAAGAGGUCAGAGGAUCUGGGUAGCAAAUGCAGUAAGUGAAGGCAUACGCCAGUGAUCAGCAAUGCAUGGAGGCAGAAAGGCAGGCAGUGAACUAAUAUGACAGGCAGGAGCGUUACAUGAGAUGCAGAGGGUUCCUUGGGAACAGGCAGGAAGAAAACUGCUUUUCUUCUACGUGGUAAAUAGUUUGUCUCUGAAAAAUCAAUUUUAAAACACACAGAAUUAUAGUAAGAGCCCACAGCUCCUGCCAUCUCCCCUCAGUACUUCUCUGCCCCCAAGCUUUCCAAACCUUAGUGUUGCAGAGCCUCCCCUAAAAGUGGUUCCCCCUCAAGGAGGGUAGAAGUUGGGAUAAGAUUGUUUAAUAGAAUAAAAUGUUUCAGUUCAGACACAGGUGUAGAGUCUCUGGAUGUGCUCUAAUGCAAGCCAUGCUGUUCCCAAGCAUGUUGUGGUCACGAAUACUUGAGAAUGAGACUUGGUCACAAGUGCCAUGCAGCUCUGUGCUUAGGUGCUUCAUUCCAAAUCACAAGCUGGGGUCUUUGCUGCUGCUUCGCUGUGCACAGCAGUGAAGUCAGGUUUUGCUGUCAUAUCAGCCUACAAGUAGUAGCUGAAUUUUCUGGCUGCAGAUGAUACCUGUCUAUCUGUACAUUAAAUGUGCAAUAACACUUGGUGUAACUUUUUUUUAAUGUAAAGGUUAUUAAGAAAUUGUGGCUAGCUGACAGCAUCUAAGAACUAUUUAAUGUAAAAAUUAUGUUAUGCAAUACUGGUAUUAUGCAAUACUGGUAUUACGCAAGCUCUUUCGGGGUAGAAGUGGUACUUUGCCUAUAUUAAUAAUAUCAUAUGUAUAUCGUAUAUUUGUCAAUGUUACAGAAGACAAAUUGUGAGGGAACUGAGAGGGUCCCCCGUGGAGAGUCGGCCAAGUCACGACAAUCACACCAAUAUGGCUAAAUGCCGUGCUCGCUUUAUUAAACAAACAGGUCAUAUUUAUAACUUAAACCGACUGCUCACCCGACUUUACACACAGGUGAUUGGAUAAAAGUCUCUGGGCCACGUGGGAGUCCGUGUCACUGAUCAGUGAGCAUGCUGCAGGUGCCUGAUAAGAGUGUGCUGAUGAGAGUGUGUUGAUUUCAUGGUUCCCAGGACUUGCUCUGCACCUGGCUUCUUGUUUGUGCACAGCUUGUUUUCCUUCUCCCACUGCUUGUUCCCAGGACAAUUUAAAGCUGCUCUGCAGCUUCAACUAACAGGCCUGGGUUGUCCAACUCGGACAAAGGCAACAUAUGUCCUCGGUCCUUUAAAAAUCCCUCUACAAGGGAACAGGAACUAAGAGAAAUGAAGUGUGUUGUUGGAAGUCCUUGAGAGAGGCAGAGGGAACUGACAGCAGGUGCCUGACUCCUUCAGUGUGCUGUGAGUCUUGACAAAUUUGGGAAGAGCCUGAGAGAAAUUUUUCAUCCUGAGAUACAAAAGGUAGGAGGUGACUUCGUUUUUUCGUUUGGUUAUGGCUUUUUAUUAUUUUCUGGAAAAAUAAGUCGUUACGUAUAAAUGCUAGUGAUUUGUUUCUUUCGGUAGCAGGAUAAUAAUGAUGAGUAGGGUUACAGUUACAAAAGAAGCUAUCUUUAUCAGUUGAACUGGCUACUUGGAAAUUAAACAAAUAUAAGAGUACGUUACAGGGGUUUUUGUGCUGUCUUCAGUACUGGUGUGCUAAAGAUAUUGUUUUGUUUACAGGAUUUAUUGGUUCUUGAAGAGCAAGAGGUAAAUGUAAACUUAUCACUCCUAGCACUUACUUAGUGACUUAUAACAACUUAGAUAUCAAUUGCUUAUUGCAGUAAAAAAAUGUGGUAUUUCUGUGCAACAUAUGAGAUCAAAAAUAAUUUUAAGCACCAGCAUAAUAUAUCUUAUUAAUAGAUGACCAACUUAGUAAUAUCAUAAAAUUCAUAAUCUGUGAUCAAAAGUAAAUUAUUAGGUAUCUGCUACUUGAGCAUGUAAUGGAGCUGGUCUGAAGUGUAUAUUCCUGUGUGUAGGACGUAUACAAAUGUUGUAUAUAAAAGUCCUUAGAGGAAACAUUUAUUUUAGGUCUUUUGUUUGAUUGUCUGUUUAUCCUGUAAUAUUUGGUUUUAUUUCUCAAGGACCUGUGAAUUUGAAAUUUGGAAUCCUUUAUGUUAAGGAUGGGCAGCUUACAGAUGACGAAAUGUUCGGUGAUGUGGGCGUUCCCACAAUUAAGUGGUAUGGAGCUGAAGGGGACUGUGAUGCAAUGGUGAUGGAGCCGUUUGGACUGAGUCUUGAAGAUAUCUUCAGUUUUUGUUCAAGGAAAUUUAGUCUCGAGACAGUCCUAUUACUCGCUGACCAAGUGGUAGGAAACUGCUUUGUUGAUCUUGAUGGUGCAGUAUGUUGGAAUAUUAAAAUUCCUUGAGAGAUCAGAACCAAAUAUGUUGUUUCUGUAAUUUAGAGGUGAAUAGGCCUGUAUCAUUAAAGAAAAGACUCAAAAUUGAUUUUGUUUCUCUUAAAUACAAAGUGCCCCAUCUAAAGUGAUUACAAAGUCUUAAUUGAUUUUUAAAAAGCAGACUUGCGCUGUUUGCAAACCAUCUGUUGCACUGCUCAAAGACACAAGAAAUUUGCCCAAGAAUGUUUUUGGAAACAAAUGUAAAAUAGACACGGGGAAAGAGCUGGAGAGGUUUAUGUAUUGUCUAUCAAAUUAUGUUCUCUUUAAUGCCCUUACAUUUUACAAUAAAAAGUUUCAUUACCUCUUCUAUCGUUAA